CUCAGGGAUUGGAGAGCACUAAGUCCAGUCAAUUUUCCUUGCAUCUAGGAAAACUGAGGCCAAGAGAGGAAUAGAGACUUGUCCAUGGUCACCAGUUGGCUUCUGAGGUUCAAAAUAAGCGGGAUGGGGGAAUUCACAGAAGAUCUGACCUCACUCUCUGAAAACGACAAGCCAGUGAUCAUGGGGUUGCUAAUUGGAACAACCAAGGACUAACUGGGCCACUUUGGGGGUUUUGUGGGUGGGAAACGGCAGCAGCAGGAAUGUUUAUUUUGAUCAGCUUCUCUCAUUUCUUUUCCUCCUCCUACCCUCUCCCACUGAGGAAGUUUCCCUAUGUGCUGCCUGUAGAUUCCCCUACAACACGCCUGCCCUGGCCCCACACAGCCACAGUGCUGGGUCACUGCCAAGGCACAGGACAGCCAGAUGAUUCAUGCAACUGGCAAAGUGUAACAAAAGAAGUCUGUUUCUUCUCAUAGAAUAGAAGAUGAUUUGGAGUCAGAGAGAAGCAGCAAUAGGAAACAAAAUUCAGCUCUGUGCUCUGUUCAAUCCACAGUAUCAUCCUGGA
rnacentral:lncRNA from 1 species